rnacentral:lncRNA from 1 species
UCCGUGUCCAGCCUCGCACUGGCCGCCAGCAGGGCUCCCUUCCCCACCGGGCCCAGCUUCAGCCCCGGUGAGGAAACGGAGGCCCAGCAGGGCUCUGCAACCUUCCCACGGGGCCCUGGAGUGCAGCCCGGCCCGCGCUUUGUGCUGCCCCCGGCUGCCGGGCCAGGCAUCCCAGGCUGUUUACAGGAAGGAGGCAAGCAGCAGUUCUGGGACGUGAAUGGCUGUCGGAAUCAUCUGGAACACUUGUCCACCGUCUCGAACCACGUGCCGCCCCAGACCUGGUCAGUGAGAGCCGAGACGGUGUCCGGUGGGAGACCCUUGCACAGCGCGGCACGGAGGGCCUCCCGGCUCUUAGGGAAACGCCGGCCUCUCUUCAGGAGGCAGUCUGGAGCCAGGUCACCCCCGCGUGCUUGGGUUUCCUGUCUGCAAAGCAGGGAUGGGGACAGGCUGCCCCGUGGGCGGCUCGGAUGGGGAGAGCCGCGCAGGCUUAGUGCUCGACUCAGGGCAGGCGGCCUGGGGGCCCUGGGCUCUUGGUGUGAGACCCUCAGUGGCAGCUUCCACCACCCCCUUCCUGCGAAUGGCCUGUGGCCUGUUCAGUGGCCUUGGGCCAGUCACUGCCUCUCCUAGUCUCCGGUUCUUUGUCUGUAAGGCAGGCUGAGGAGCCCCCAGGCCACGUGUGCCCUCCAACUGGAAGUGGCCCAGUGUUUCCCUGGGACUCUGCCCUGGGGGAGGUGCCCGGCAGGCCUGGCCGAGCCUCCUCUGACGGUACCUAGAAAGUGGAAAGGCAGGUGAGGGCGGGCGGGCGGCGUCCUGCCUGCGAGUGACCUUGCGUCCCCCACAGGAUGACCACUUCCCAGCCGGCUGGUAACCCCUCCCCCUGCUGUCCUGCCUCCUCACGGCCCUUGAGGGCAGUGGGAAAAAAACCCUCAACAUCUGAAGUGCUUUUCUCCAAAGGAAGAUAGGCUUGAAUCACGAAACCAGGAACAGGCGGGGCUUCCUGGGAACUUACUAGAGUGCAGAUGGGGCCGUGCAAGGCCUCCCCACAAAC